AUUGAACGCUGGCGGCAGGCCUAACACAUGCAAGUCGGACGGUAGCACAGAGAGCUUGCUCUCGGGUGACGAGUGGCGGACGGGUGAGUAACGUCUGGGAAACUGCCCGAGGGAGGGGGAUAACUACUGGAAACGGUAGCUAAUACCGCAUAACGUCGCAAGACCAAAGUGGGGGACCUUCGGGCCUCACACCAUCGGAUGUGCCCAGAUGGGAUUAGCUAGUAGGUGGGGUAAUGGCUCACCUAGGCGACGAUCCCUAGCUGGUCUGAGAGGAUGACCAGCCACACUGGAACUGAGACACGGUCCAGACUCCUACGGGAGGCAGCAGUGGGGAAUAUUGCACAAUGGGCGCAAGCCUGAUGCAGCCAUGCCGCGUGUAUGAAGAAGGCCUUCGGGUUGUAAAGUACUUUCAGCGGGGAGGAAGGCGGUGAAGUUAAUAACUUCACCGAUUGACGUUACCCGCAGAAGAAGCACCGGCUAACUCCGUGCCAGCCGCCGCUGUAA
rnacentral:rRNA from 1 species